UACGUAGGGAGCAAGCGUUUGUCCGGAAUCAUUGGGCGUAAAGCGCGCGUAGGUGGCUCUAUAAGUCCGGUGUGAAAGUCACAGGCUCAACCUGUGAAUGCCGCUGGAAACUGUCUGGCUAGAGUCCGGAAGGGGCGAGUGGAAUUCCUGGUGUAGCGGUGAAAUGCGUAGAUAUCGGGAGGAACACCUGUGGCGAAGGCGGCCCCCCUGGUUGGAUCUGAC
rnacentral:rRNA from 1 species